rnacentral:rRNA from 1 species
ACCAAAGCCGGGGCAACCUGGCGCUUUUGGAGGAGCUCGUGGCCUAUCAGCUAGUUGGUGAGGUAACGGCUCACCAAGGCAACGACGGGUAGCUGGUCUGAGAGGACGACCAGCCACACUGGAACUGAGAUACGGUCCAGACACUUACGGGUGGCAGCAGUCGAGAAUUUUUCUCAAUGGGGGAAACCCUGAAGGAGCGACGCCGCGCGGAGGAUGAAUGCUUUCGGGUUGUAAACUCCUGUCAUUUGGGAACAAGACCUUACGUUAACUGCGUGGAGGAUUGAUAGUACCAGAAGAGGAAGAGACGGCUAACUCUGUGCCAGCAGCCGCGGUAAUACAGAGGUCUCGAGCGUUGUUCGGAUUCAUUGGGCGUAAAGGGCGCGUAGGCGGCGGGGUAAGUCUGGUGUGAAAUCUAGGAGCUCAACUCCUAAACUGCACUGGAUACUGCUCUGCUAGAGGACUGGAGAGGAGACUGGAAUUCACGGUGUAGCAAUGAAAUGCGUAGAUAUCGUGAGGAAGACCAGUGGCGAAAGCGGGUCUCUGGACAGUUCCUGACGCUGAGGCGCGAAGGCCAUGGGAGCAAACGGGAUUAGAUACCCCGGUAGUCCUGGCAGUAAACAGUGCACGUUUGGUGUGCGCGGAUUCGACCCCGUGCGUGCCGGAGCUAACGCGUUAAACGUGCCGCCUGAGAAGUACGGUCGCAAGAUUCAAACUCAGAGAAAUUGACGGGGGCCCGCACAAGCGGUGGAGU